UACAAGCCAACCCAUACACUUUUUCGCAGCUAUCAUGCAGGGACAACUCUUGUCAAAAUUUAAUGGGGUGUUGAUAGGGGAAGAUGGUCAAUAAAUAUCAAGAUGGAAGAGCGCUCAUUAUGUGUACAAUCCUAAGAAACAUUUCUACGGCGGACGAUGAUGCGUACGCUGCUUAUCAUAGGCUUCCAUCUUUCAUGAAAGUUUUUUCCGGAGCUCGCAACAAAGAUGAGAUUCGACUACCUCCGCAAUGGGUUGCAGAGCAUGGGGAUGACCUGCCCUUCGACUGUCGGCUCAUCAUGCCAAAUGGAAACCGAUGGCCAGUUCGUUUGCUAAAAAUUGCUAGUGGCUGUCAUUUCUGCGUCUGGUGAUCUGAAUUUCGGCGCGAUACUAAUCUCUAUGACGGUGAGAAACUUUCAUUCACCCUCGUCAAUGUGGGGAUUUUCCAUAUUAAAAGAUACAAGUCGGGUAGCGGCUGCCCACCAAGGGGUGAUCUCGAAAGUUAGUCUCUUAUGUACUUGACUCCAUUGUCGUUGUUUUCAAAAAAAAAUAUUCAAUCGUCUCCUUCCUCCAAUAUGUGUAUAAUGUUUAUAGUGUUGACUGAGGAAUAGGAGGACGAAUAGGUCUACACUCCCGACAUCGAUUCGUCGGACGAUUACACCCCAUCCGAAGUUGAUUCUGAAUCGGCGGAUGACAGUGAUUACGCCGAUGAUAGGGGUGUGCUUGAUGACGAUCACUAUCCGACGUGGACGUUGAAGCUAACCAAGGAACAUAUCAAGCCCACCAUCGAAAUACCGAAUGAGUUUUGGCAAAGCCACAUCCAUGACGUAGCAGUGCAGAACGUAGUGCACUUUCUUGUUGACGGGCAGACAUAGCGUAUGUUGCUCAAACAUAAUUCGGGCAGGAUUUGGAUCAAGCACGGCUUGCGUCGGUUCAAAGAUGCCAACGCUUUGUUCCCGGGUGUUCGUUGCCAUUUUAAGCUCGUCGAUGCUCGAGACAUCCAGUUCUACGUAUGGUUUGAUCGACCCUGGGGAUGUUGUGUGUUUGUAUGAUAUCUCUGCCAUGUUGUUAGUAGUUUCGUGUUGAUUUGUGCACCGAUUUUAACCUUUGUGUAAUAAUGGUAGCACUUGUGUUUGUUAAGUGAGGAUCGGCUUUGGAAUACACUUCGAAGUCAUCCGUGUUGUGGUUGCA